rnacentral:rRNA from 1 species
GACGAACGCUGGCGGCGUGCCUAACACAUGCAAGUCGAGCGAUGAAGCUUCCUUCGGGAAGUGGAUUAGCGGCGGACGGGUGAGUAACACGUGGGCAACCUGCCUCAAAGUGGGAAUAGCCCUCCGAAAAGGAGGAGUAAUACCGCAUAAUAUGAAGGGAUCGCAUGGUUCUUUCAUUAAAGAUUUAUCGCUUUGAGAUGGGCCCGCGGCGCAUUAGCUAGUUGGUAAGGUAAUGGCUUACCAAGGCAACGAUGCGUAGCCGACCUGAGAGGGUGAUCGGCCACAUUGGAACUGAGACACGGUCCAGACUCCUACGGGAGGCAGCAGUGGGGAAUAUUGCGCAAUGGGGGAAACCCUGACGUAGCAACGCCGCGUGAGUGAUGAAGGUCUUCGGAUUGUAAAACUCUGUCUUUAGGGACGAUAAUGACGGUACCUAAGGAGGAAGCCACGGCUAACUACGUG